rnacentral:rRNA from 1 species
UACGGGGGGGGGCAAGCGUUGUUCGGAAUUACUGGGCGUAAAGGGCGCGUAGGCGGCCCGCUAAGUCGAACGUGAAAUCCCCCGAGCUCAACUCGGGAACUGCGUCCGAUACUGGCGGGCUUGAAUCCGGGAGAGGGAUGCGGAAUUCCAGGUGUAGCGGUGAAAUGCGUAGAUAUCUGGAGGAACACCGGUGGCGAAGG